rnacentral:lncRNA from 1 species
GACAUGAUGGUGAGCUUUACUCCAUAGUGCCAACAUUGCAGCUGCCACCAAUAGGGGUAGUUAUUCAUUUCUCAAGUGGAAGUACUAUCAGCUAAGGCUGACGCUUGAGUAGGCCAUCAGUGCUGAUGAAGAGAUUGACCCCUCCCACCUAAAGGUGGUAAAGAAGUCCCAAAAUAGUGGUAUGAGGGCCCUCAACCUCCUCACUCUGAGUGACAUCUCCUCCACAAACUUGAAGACCGUAUUAAGUAUCUUGACCAACCGAAGAAGUUCACCAACCUCG